rnacentral:tRNA from 1 species
UCCGUGAUAGUUUAAUGGUCANAUGGGCGCUUGUCGCGUGCCAGAUCGGGGUUCAAUUCCCCGUCGCGGAG